rnacentral:miRNA from 1 species
UGAGGCAGGAGAAUUGCUUGAACCCAGGAAGUGGAGGCUGCAGUGAGCCCAGAUCGAGCCACUGCACUCCAGCCUGGGCGACAGAGCGAGACUCCAGUCUCA